AUGUAAAUGCAGCUCAGCGGUUAAAAGUGCAAGCCGUUCGGCUCCCAGCACCCACAUAGGGCUCACAAUCACUCAUGACUCUAGUUCCAGGCAAUCGGAUCCUCUCCUCUGGCCUCUGAGGGUAUCCACGUGUGUGUGUGUGUGUGUGUGUGUGUGUGUGUGUGUACAGACACAUAUACAUGCACAUAAAUAAACAUACAUUCAAGCUUAAAUAAAAAAGGGCCGGACACAAGGGGGCUGGAGAUGUAGCUCAAGUGUUUUCUUAGUGUGCACGAGAUCUUGGGUUCAAGUCCCAGCACCACCUAAAACUGGCCACAGUGGUGCAUGCCUAUAAUCCCAGGGCUCAGGCCUUUAAGUCUGGAGGGUCAGAAGUUGAAAGUUAUCCUCAGUUACAUAUCAAGUUUGACUGGGCUACUGGAGACCCUGUCAAGGAAGGUAAGAAGGGAGAGAGAAGGAAGAAAAAGAGAGGGAAGAAGGGAAACAGAGAUGAACAAAUUGGAGAAAGGUCAGCAUUUGUUUUUGUUUGUUUGUUUGAUAACCUGCUGGUGUGACCUGCUCCCUGUCUCUCCCUCUCUCUCUCUGUCUCUCUCAGAUUUGUUUAUUUAUUUUAUGUAUAUGAGUACACUGCAGCUGUACAGAUGGUUAUGAGCUUUCAUGUGAUUGUUAGGAAUUGAAUUUUAGGACCUCUGCUCGCUGCUCGCUCCGGCCCAAAGAUUUAUUAUUAUACAUAAAUUCAUUGUAGCUGACUUCUGACGCACCAGAAGAGGGCGUCAGAUCCCAUUACGGGUGCCUGUGAGCCACUGUGUGGUUGCUGGGAUUUGAACUUAGGACCUUUGGAAGGGCAGUCAGUGCUCUUACCCACAGAGCCAUUUCUCCAGCUCCGUAACCUUGUCUCUUUCAGGAAUGCCACCCGUGAGUUGGGAAAAGCCAUCUCCAACACCCUCUUCCCUAUAGGGGCAUGCAAUGAGGGAGGGGCUGUGGAAAACAACUAGUCUCAGAUGUGAGAGGCAGGCGUUCCCCAUUUGCAGCAUGCCAUUACAAUAUUGUUAUCACACACACAGGAAUGGAGCCCAUCUAGACACAAAGUCAACAGCCGUAUCUCCACCCAGCCAUCUUCCACGAGUUUACAUAAUUAGCAGCGUCCACAGCCACAACACAUUGGCCUCAGUUCCCUGAAGCAUUUUUACAGAUGGGGCAAAAGUCAUCCUGACACACAUGGUUCAAAAGGACAGAGACAGGUAGGCCAGCAGGAAUGCCAGGUAUGAAAAAGCCAGGACUGGUAUUUGUCAUGCACCUGCUGAGACAUAGGCUAGAUUUCUCAGUUGCUUUUGCCUCUCUUCCUAUUAAAAAACAAAAAACAAACUGUGUGUGUGUGUGUCUGUCUGUCUGUCUGUCUGUACGCAAGUAUGUAUGUAUGGAAGUGGGGGAAUACACAGGGCAACUCUCUCCUUGGGGAGUGGAACUCAAGUUGGUAGGCAUAGCAGCAAGAGCCAUUUCCCCACAAGCCGUCUCGCCUGCCCCCUUUCUCUUUUAUACUGGAAACCAAAGCUGGAUCCUUAAACACUCUGGGCCCUACCACUGAGCUAUUAUUAUACCUUUUAUUUGAGGCAGGGUCUCACUGAGAUGCCCAGGGUAGCCUUGACCUUACUUUGUAGCACAGGCAGUCCUUGAACUUAACACCCUCCUGUCUCAGCCUCCUGAGUACCUGGAAUGACAGGUAUGUGCCACACUGGUAGCUCACACACAGCAUCUUUUAAAUGAUCACAUCCUUAGUGGGUACCCAUUUCCACUGUGAGUAAACUGAGUCUCAAAAAGAUGGCACAACUUGCUUAGCCUGUGUGUGCAUUGCUGUACAUCAGCUGGAUCCUUCUCGGAGGAACUUUUUUGGCAGGCACUCUGUGGGUUCACCAGCUCAGAAGCUCCCCGCCUAGAGGAGGUAUCAGAAUGCCAGGCUUUGCCAUGCAUCAAGGCGGAAUCUGAGGUCCCGAAGCCAGGCCUGGUAGCCAUUGCCUGUAAUCCUAGGAUGGCAGAAGAUCUGGAGUCCAAGGUAGGCCUGGGCUUCAUCCCACGCGACCCUGCCUUAGACAAAAUGAAAUCUGAAAUGCCAACACCAAGACAGUGAGAACUCCUAAGUGGAGUUCUCUGGAAUCCAGAAAAAUCUCUGGAUUUUCCUGUACCUAUCUGCAGAGAUAGAACACAGCCUCGAUAUCAGGUAGGGUUUCAUUCAGGACGCUGCACGAAAAUUACUACAGCACAGAAAGGUGUUCAAUACUUAAAAAAAUAAUAACAAUUGAAAAAAAUCCAGUGCACUUCCGUUGUUCCUGGAAAAGUGUUCAGAAGUUCAAACUGAAGGAUGGCAGACUUCUCGGAAAAGCCCGCAGACUUCCAUCUAAAUUGUUUCCUUGCUCAGAGUCAGGCGGAUCCAAAGGUUCCUCCCCCAACCCAUGACUUAACUUGGGGGCGGGUGGAGGGAGACAGCUGAGACAGGAAUGGGCGCACCCACUGGGCGAAUUUCAACACAGAACCACUGUAUUCCACAGACAGAUCGGCCAGGCACACGCAAUUAGAUCUCAAUGCUUGAGCUUCCCACCGCUGCAAUGUCUCCUGGAGUUAAGUGUGUGCGGAUGUAGCCAUCUCUUUGCUUGAGCAAAUGCGAGUGGAGAGAGUGAAAGGGCAGUCUUUUCCGGACGUAAGGCUACCAGAUGGGUUACAGGCACAGCGUAGGGGGUAGCCCCAAAUUUGCACUGAGCUAGCCCCUUACUCACACUUGCCCCGGGUCCAGCCAGGUGCCCAGCAGGCACCACAGGCUUGCAAUACCCUGACCAACAGAUUUGACCGCUCUCCAUGUAGUGCUUUGGGACGCUCGAGUCAGGGAGCCAAAUAGCCCCGCGAGAAUCCAACACCUAAGUUCAAGAACUGACGAGGGGCCGUCCCAACUUUGCACUGGAUAGACCCUUUCCCACGCUCUGGGUCCAGCCCUGUGCUGAGUCUGCAGGUGCCAUGGGUCACAGGACCCUGACAGGCAUGGCACUGACCUUUCUCUCUGCAGCUCUGUUGAGGUUCCAUAAGGGAAGAUGGAUGCUGCCAAAGAACCCCAAGACCCGAGCUCCCAAACUGAAAAACUCCAGUGCGCCUCCCGGCCGCACCCACCCAGUGAUCGGGGACACAACUUUGCCACCAGCGGCUCCGAGCUCCCGGCCCGGAGCGCCCCCGCGCGCCCGGCCCCGGCGGUUCCCGGACUCCGGGGCCUGCAGCCACGCUGCCCUCCCGACCGCGCGAGCACCUACCGGGCUGGAUGCCGAAGCCAUCGGCUGCAUCGGGGACUGCUCCAGCUCCCUGCUGCUCCCGGAGCCCCGUAGUGUCCGCGCAUAGCUUGCAGGCUCCGGGCUCCGGGACGCGCGCGGACCCGGUGUCCCGCCCGCAGGACGGAGUCGGCUGGCCGUAUGCCGCAAGCUGGCGGACGCGCUCCCAUGAACCCGAAUCGGCCGCCCGCAUCCCGUGUGCCCGGGACGCGAGGCCCCACGGCGGCGCGCGGGGCUCCGACGGCGGACGCCGGUCUCACAGCCCUCGGAGCCGCCGCCGCAUCGGGUCGCCCACGCGCUCCCGGCCAGAGAUCUCAGCCCCACCGAGCGCCGGGCACUCCGCGGCCGCCGCACCGGAGGAAUCCGGCGCGAUCCUCUCACGUGGGAACAACUCCAGAUCCUGGGGGCUCCUCCUCCUGCUCCUUCCGGGCUAGCGAGCCCCGGGAGCCAGAGGCUGGCUUUCCCUUGCUGUAGACUGCAGGGAGCCAAGCUGCACAGCCAGGUGAAAAGUUCCUGAGUUCACCACCGCUACUGCCCCUCCUAAGCCGCCUGGACCCCAAACCAGAUUCUAUGACCUGUGGCUCUCCCCGUGCCAGCCUGUGAGCGAGCCCUGAUCACCAUGGAGGGCAUGUGGCAGGCCAAGAGCUGGUGUCCCCAACAGUACAGGAAGACUGCCGGUGGCUUAAACACCCAGCCCUUCCAGAGGAACGACAUGGCCCAGCACCAAGCCACGAUUCAACCUAGAGUGGCCUGAGCAAAUGAACCUCGACUGGAGCGUCGCCUGGCUCAUACCAGCCUGUGAGCAGCUCCUCCGUAGGCUGUCCCGAUUACUAACAGAUGUGGGAGAACCCAAUCCAUGAUGGGUGGUGCCAUUAUUUGGUUUCAGACCCAGGGACAAGGGACUGAGGUGCAUAUUUUACACACCAAGGCAGACCUGGCCUUCAGGUUCUCCCAGCAUCCCUCAGACCCUGCCCCCAACCCUGAACUUUGCAGCUCAGGAACUGGGCUACCCCUUCCCCCAGAGGCUCUUCUCUAUAUAACCCAGACAUUUUGGUCUUUUGCCCUCUCUUCUCCUUCUCUUCUCUCUCCCCACCCUUCCCAGGGUGACUCCCCUGGCCUCCUUCCCUGAGGCCAGUGAACAUACCCAUCCAAAGAGCAGCUUCCCAAUAAACCUGCAUCUAAUAUACUCUAAACCGGCUUGAAUUGAUUCACUUCAGCGAUGGAGAAAUCACUUAUCAGCCAUCUCUAGUCAGGCAGUCCUAGGCUGUAUAAUGACGCCAGCUGAGCAUGGGUGGCUCCGGGAGCAACCAGCUAACCGUGAUUUCCCACAAUCCUUGCCUUGCCUAUUGGCCCUGACUUCCUUCAAUGGUGGACUGAGACCUGAAAAUACACCUGGAAGUAAACCCUUACCUCCUUUAAAUUGCUUUUGGUCACGGUGUUUAUUGUGGCAACAGAAAGCA